rnacentral:rRNA from 1 species
AUGAAGUCGGAUCUAGGAGAUUUCCUGGAACAACUUAACUUGGAAGAAGAGGAAUUCGAUGAUCUUGUUAUCGAUGAGGAUGAUCCUGAAAUCAACGAAAGCGUCAGGUGGCUUGCCCUAGCUAGGGUUCACAUGGACAAGUCUUUCAGCCAAACUGCUUUCUACAGGGAGAUGCGCGCGGCGUGGAACGCAGCCCAGCCGGUUAGGUUUCGACCGGUUGGACCGAAUCUGUUCAUCGUUCAAGCCUCCUGUCUUGGUGACUGGGAGCGCAUGCUUGAUCAAGGACCAUGGCUGUUUUGGAAUAUGCUCGUGUUGAUGUGCCCAUAUGAUGGUUUCACAAAGGCAGAGGAGGUACCUAUGACCUUCAUGCCAAUCUGGCUUCAAAUUCACAAGCUUCCUCAAGGUUUUUGCGAGAAGAUUGUGCAACAUCUACUCCGGAACUCAGGUAAGAUCUUGGAGAUGAGGCUGAACGGAAAUACUAGAGGGGAUUAUAUCGGGAUAAGAAUACGCCAUGACAUUAGCCAGCCUCUCACAAAAUUUGUUAGCAUUGUUCGAGGCCAUGAAAGGCAAGUGUUCCUGGUGCGUUAUGAGAAAUUGGACAGAUUUUACAGCGUCUGUGGCUUGAUUGGCCAUGAGUACAAAGAAUGUGGCAAUGGCAUUUAUGAGGAAAAGGAUAAGAAAUACGGGGUGUGGUUGUAUGCUGAUGGCCCUAAUAGACAACGUUAG